rnacentral:lncRNA from 10 species
AGGCUCAAGGAAACUUCCCUGCUAGUGAAACUUCACUCUCAACACCACUCAAUGAUCUAACAGCUUCCUAAAUCCAACUUCAUUCUUUUUGCAGUUUAAGCCCAGUUUCAAAUAAGGCAUCACUGGGAUGGAUAAAGAAAACACUGAGAUGGGGGAUAGAAACAUUAAAAAGCAGAAAAACUAAGCAAAAUCUAAAUCCUGUCAAUUGGAUGUUUACCAUUUCACACUGAAAUCUUUCCCUGAAUAGACCAGGGACAUCACUGCCUCCUGCUCAGAUCUCAAAGCUUCAACAUGCUCCACAAAGCACCUCCCUAAGUACCCUAGUGUGUUCCCUGGGAGAGUUGCUACACAGCCCAUCUACUGGAUUUAGUACCAUAGUCCCAGCACUUGGCCCAGGGUCCUAGACUGCUGGGUAGGUCCUCAGAGGUAUCUGAAGUCAUGUCUACAUUGAUACAAAGAAACGUAUGGCUCAUCUGUAACAAUACGUAGAGAAACACAAUUAAGAACAAUAAGGAUCACAGAACUCGAAUGGAUCAUUAUAACUUCAAGACUCAGUUUAAGUUACCAAGAAAUGCACUGUAGCCCUUUUCUCACUUUUAUAUUCAGAUCAGGGCUAACCCUAACAUGUUCUUAAAUGACCACUUAUGGUCAUUUAAGUGGUCAAUGGGAAUAUUGCAGCAGAGAACUGCUGUUUUGUUUAAACGUACUAGCCAUUAGCAUUAAAAGAGUCUAAUGAACUCAUCUAACACCUGGACACAUUUUUAAAGUUCAUCAUUUACCAUAUGUAAAUUUGACAACAAUUUUGACUUGCAAUGUCUGUUGUUCAAAAGCAAAGUCAGACUAUCUAAAUCUUGUUUUCCUUUGGUCCUACUUAAAAAAAAAUUAGACAUCUUGUCAGUUUUAUUACCAUCAGAGGCACAGAUAGUACUACAGUCACUCAGUUUAGAAGGAAGACACCGUGCUCCAGAGUAGGUCAGCCCAGGCUACCAUGAGCUCCUCAGCCCUUUCAGCUUUGGUGAAUCUGUGACCCUGUGACCCUCCCCUUCUAGAAAGAGAAAUUUGCUCUAGAAAGAUACCUUGCUCUGGGAGGUAUGGCUCCUAAUCCUUGUCUCCCUAUUAUUGUGUAGAGGCUAACCAGGGAUUGGAUCCUAUUCAACUGGGUUCCUCUCUUUUCUGCCUCCGCUGGUCAGAUAAUAGUCUUUUCAAUGGUCUGUUCUCUUCACUCCUCUAUAAUGUUUUCCUUAGUCUACCUGUGCACUGGCACACUCCAACCCUUUGGCUGUAACAAACUUAAAAAUAAAUAAGGCUGUAAGAGUUCUAACCAUCAAGAGUAUACCACACUACGUUUCAAUUAAAUAACCAUUUUAUGAUACUCAGAAUCUUGUACUGAGAAAAAGCUUCAUUUAGACUCUAAAGUUUAGAGUAAGCAAGAUAUUUUUGUAUCAAUAUAGUGUUUAAAAUAAUGCUUAAAGAACUAAAGUCCUAUCCUUUGGUCAAGAGAGCAAAUGAAAACAGUUUUUUGUUUGUUUGUUUGAGACGGAGUCUCGCUCUGUCACCCAGGCUGGAGUCCAGUGGCACAAUCUCUGCUUACUGCAACCUCCGCCUCCCGGGUUCAAGUAAUUCUCCUGCCUCAGCCUCCUGAGUAGCUGGGACUACAGGCGCGUGCCACCAUGCCCCGCUAAUUUUUUGUAUUUUUAGUAGAGACGGGGUUUCACAGUGUUAGCCAGGAUGGUCUCGAACUCCUGACUUCAGGUGAUCCACCCGCCUCGGCCUCCCAACGUGCUGGGAUUACAGGCAUGAGGCUGAAGGAUUGCUUGAGCCUGGAGUUUGAGACCAGCCUGGGCAACACAGUGAGACCCUCUCUCUAGAAAAAAAUUUAAAAAAUUAGCAGGGUGUGGUGAUGCAUACCUAUGGUCUAGCUACUCAGGAGGCCAAAAUGGAAGGAUAACUUGAGCCCAGGAGUGGGAAGCUUCAGUAAGCUAUCAUCAAACUGCACUCUGGCCUGGAUGACUGUCUCUUAAAAAAGAAAAAAGGAAAAAAAUAAAGACUGACCAAGAUACUGUGAUUUUACUGCUAUUAUUCAUAAGGCUGGAUAGAAAGGGCAAAUACUGGCUAAAAAACAAACAAGAACAAAUACAAGCAGCAAUUAACAUUUCUGGAAUUCCAGACCCAAGUUCUAAAAGGAUGUCAAAAUUCAGGAAGCCUACACUUGAUUAUAAUCACCUAUAAGACAGAAAUCACCUAUAAGACAGAAAUCUAGACUUUCUACUGAGCAACUGCUUUGUUGUGAUAAUGGAAAGGUAUUUUCCAUGUCACCAAAUGGGAGAGCUCUACCAACAGAAAAGCAACACUGGCAGCUUAUGGAGCUAACAAUAAAGCUAAGUUACAUAUAUCUAUAUAGGAUAAUAUAGAUAUAAUAAAAUAUAUAUGCAUUUUAAAUAUACAUAUUAAACAUGUACAUACUUAAUAUAUGUCUAAAAGCAUCCCACUCCAACAGAUGCCCUACACAUAGGGUUUGCUUCUCAUAAAUAUUUAAAAUUGUUUAGAAACUGGGAACAGAUUGAAAAA